UACGUAGGGGGCUAGCGUUGUCCGGAUUUAUUGGGCGUAAAGAGCGUGUAGGCGGCCAGGUAGGUCUGCUGUGAAAACUCGAGGCUCAACCUCGAGACGUCGGCGGAAACCAUCUGGCUAGAGUCCGGAAGAGGAGAGUGGAAUUCCUGGUGUAGCGGUGAAAUGCGUAGAUAUCUGGAGGAAUACCGGUGGCGAAGGCGGCAUCCUGGACCGGCAUUGACGCUGAUGAGCGAAAGCUAGGGGAGCAAACGGG
rnacentral:rRNA from 1 species